CGUUCAGGGGUAAACCUGCGAAACUCGAAUGAACGAACGGAGAGAUUCAUCGUCAUUCCGCGGAGCACGGGCGGCCGCGCGAUGCGUUCGGUGCUCGCACCGCGCGCACGCGCGCCGUCCGAUCGGCGACCGCGGACGGCGUGCACUUCUCUCUCAGUAAGACAUCGCGACCCGUUCGACGUCGGCCUAAGCGCCGCCCGGGAGCCCCGCGACCCCAGCGGUCGCGGGACCGCGGCGGACGCCGGCCGGCCGUCGGACGGUAGAUGACGUGAAUCGCGCACGCGUUAACGCGCGUCCGGCCCGACGCAAGGCGUGCGUCGUAUCCGAAGUCCUGCCACGGUGCGGUCGUCGGUGCGGCGCGCCUGCCCCAUGUCGCUGCCGUGCAGUCUCGGACUGUGCGCGUCUCGGUCGGCGAUGAUUUUGUUUCGGGCACUCGCAGGACCCGUCUUGAAACACGGACCAAGGAGUCUAGCAUGUGUGCGAGUCAUUGAGAUUAUUAUAAACUGAAAGGCGCAACGAAAGUGAAGGCGCGCGCUCGCCGCGCGCUCGGGGAAGAUGGAGGUCGAUCUCGCGUCGGCCUCUCGCACUCCCGAGGCGUCUCGUUUGCAAUCCGUCAAUGCAGGCGCGCUCAGAGCACAAAUGCUGGGACCCGAAAGAUGGUGAACUAUGCCUGGUCAGGUCGAAGUCAGGGGAAACCCUGAUGGAGGACCGUAGCGAUUCUGACGUGCAAAUCGAUCGUCGGAACUGGGUAUAGGGGCGAAAGACUAAUCGAACCAUC
rnacentral:rRNA from 1 species